AUUGAACGCUGGCGGCAGGCCUAACACAUGCAAGUCGAACGAGUGGCGGACGGGUGAGUAAUGUCUGGGAAACUGCCUGAUGGAGGGGGUUAACUACUGGAAACGGUAGCUAAUACCUCAUACCAUCAGCUGUGCCCAGAUGGGAUUGGCUGGUUGGUGGGGGAACGGCUCACCAAGGCGACGAUCCCUAGCUGGUCUGAGAGGAGGACAAGCCACACGAGAAAGUAGCCACGGUCAAGACGACUACGGGAGGCAACAGUGGGGAAUAGUGCACAAUGGGCGCAAGCCUGAUGCAGCCAUGCCGCGUGUAUGAAGAAGGCCUUCGGUUUGUAAAGGACUUUCAGCGGGGAGGCGUUACCCGCAGAAGAAGCACCGGCUAACUCCGUGCCAGCAGCCGCGGUAAUUC
rnacentral:rRNA from 1 species